rnacentral:rRNA from 1 species
UUGCAGUUAAAAAGCUCGUAGUCGGAUUUGGCAUCACGCCGAACUGUCUGCCGAUUGGUAAGUACGGUUUGGCGGGUGCUUCUUUCUUGAAGCUCGUUCCCUUCUUAACUGAAGGGUUCGUUGGUUCAGGUUCUUUUACUUUGAGAAAAUUAGAGUGUUCAAAGCAGGCCUAUGCUCUGAAUAGGCUAGCAUGGAAUAAUAGAAUAGGACUUUGGUUCUAUUUUGUUGGUUUCUAGGUCCGAAGUAAUGAUUAAUAGGGACAGUUGGGGGCAUUCAUAUUCCAUUGUCAGAGGUGAAAUUCUUGGAUUAACGGAAGAUGAACUUCUGCGAAAGCAUCUGCCAAGGAUGUUUUCAUUGAUCAAGAACGAAAGUUAGGGGAUCGAAGACGAUCAGAUACCGUCGUAGUCUUAACCAUAAACUAUGCCGACUAGGGAUGUGGAGGCGUUAACUUUGUACGACCCUCCAUGCACCUUAUGAGAAAUCAAAGUCUAUGGGUUCCGGGGGGAGUAUGGUCGCAAGGCUGAAACUUAAAGGAAUUGACGGAAAGGGCACCA